rnacentral:rRNA from 1 species
AGUGACAAUAAAUAACAAUAUAGGGCUCUUUUGGGUCUUAUAAUUGGAAUGAGUACAAUUUAAAUCCCUUAACGAGGAUCAAUUGGAGGGCAAGUCUGGUGCCAGCAGCCGCGGUAAUUCCAGCUCCAAUAGCGUAUAUUAAAGUUGUUGCCGUUAAAAAGCUCGUAGUCGAACUUCGGCCUUUGCCGCCCGGUCCGCCUAUUUGGGUGUGUACUGGAGCGGUGGAGGCUUACCUCGUGGUGAGCAAUCAUACCCUUCACUGGGCGUGGUUGGGAACCAUGAUUUUUACUUUGAAAAAAUUAGAGUGUUCAAAGCAGGCUUACGCCCGAAUACAUUACCAUGGAAUAAUAAAAUAGGACGUGCGGUUCUAUUUUGUUGGUUUCUAGGAUCGCCGUAAUGAUUAAUAGGGAUAGUUGGGGGCAUUCGUAUUCAAUUGCUAGAGGUGAAAUUCUUGGAUUUAUUGAAGACGAACUACUGCGAAAGCAUUUGCCAAGGAUGUUUUCAUUGAUCAAGAACGAAGGUUAGGGGAUCGAAAACGAUCAGAUACCGUUGUAGUCUUAACAGUAAACGAUGCCGACUAGGGAUCGGACGAGGANUUUUAAUGACUCGUUCGGCACCUGAAGAGAAAUCUUUAAGUCUAGGUUCGGGG